AUUGAACGCUGGCGGAAUGCUUUACACAUGCAAGUCGAACGGACUUAUGGGGCUUGCUCCAUAAGUUAGUGGCGAACGGGUGAGUAAUAUAUCGGAACGUAUCCAAUAAUGGGGGAUAACUAAUCGAAAGGUUGGCUAAUACCGCAUCCGCCCUGAGGGGGAAAGCUGGGGACCGCAAGGCUAGCGUUAAUGGAGCGGCCGAUAUCUGAUUAGCUAGUUGGUGGGGUAAAGGCCCACCAAGGCGACGAUCAGUAGCUGGUCUGAGAGGACGACCAGCCACACUGGAACUGAGACACGGUCCAGACUCCUACGGGAGGCAGCAGUGGGGAAUUUUGGACAAUGGGGGCAACCCUGAUCCAGCCAUUCCGCGUGAGUGAAGAAGGCCUUCGGGUUGUAAAGCUCUUUCGCAAGGGAAGAAAACUUAUACUUUAAUAAAGUGUGAGGCUGACGGUACCUUGAUAAGAAGCACCGGCUAACUACGUGCCAGCCGCCGCAGUAA
rnacentral:rRNA from 1 species